CCUACGGGAGGCAGCAGUGAGGAAUAUUGGUCAAUGGCCGGAAGGCUGAACCAGCCAUGCCGCGUUAAGGUCAGUGCCCUCUGGGCGUUAAACCUCUUUUGUGCGGGAGCAAUAAUGGUCACGUGUGGCCAGACGAGAGUACCGUACGAAUAAGCAUCGGCUAACUCCGUGCCAGCAGCCGCGGUAAUACGGGGGAUGCAAGCGUUAUCCGGGUUUAUUGGGUUUAAAGGGUGCGUAGGCUGGGAGGUAAGUCAGCGGUGAAAUGCCCCCGCUCAACGGGGUGAAGUGCCAUUGAUACUGCCUUGCUGGAAUGCGGAUGCCGUGGGAGGAAUGUGUGGUGUAGCGGUGAAAUGCAUAGAUAUCACACAGAACACCGAGUGCGAAGGUAUCUCACGAAUCCGCGAUUGACGCUGAUGCACGAAAGCGUGGGUAUCAAACAGGAUUAGAUACCCUUGUAGUC
rnacentral:rRNA from 1 species